AUUGAACGCUGGCGGCAGGCCUAACACAUGCAAGUCGAGCGGAAACGAGUUAUCUGAACCUUCGGGGAACGAUAACGGCGUCGAGCGGCGGACGGGUGAGUAAUGCCUGGGAAAUUGCCCUGAUGUGGGGGAUAACCAUUGGAAACGAUGGCUAAUACCGCAUAAUAGCUUCGGCUCAAAGAGGGGGACCUUCGGGCCUCUCGCGUCAGGAUAUGCCCAGGUGGGAUUAGCUAGUUGGUGAGGUAAGGGCUCACCAAGGCGACGAUCCCUAGCUGGUCUGAGAGGAUGAUCAGCCACACUGGAACUGAGACACGGUCCAGACUCCUACGGGAGGCAGCAGUGGGGAAUAUUGCACAAUGGGCGCAAGCCUGAUGCAGCCAUGCCGCGUGUAUGAAGAAGGCCUUUCGGGUUGUAAAAGUACUUUCAGCAGUGAGGAAGGGGGUUCGUUAAUAGCGGCAUCUUGACGUUAGC
rnacentral:rRNA from 1 species